AACGAACGCUGGCGGCAGGCCUAACACAUGCAAGUCGAACGCCGUAGCAAUACGGAGUGGCAGACGGGUGAGUAACACGUGGGAACGUACCCUUCGGUUCGGGAUAACUCAGGGAAACUUGAGCUAAUACCGGAUACGUCCGAGAGGAGAAAGAUUUAUCGCCGAGGGAUCGGCCCGCGUCUGAUUAGCUUGUUGGUGAGGUAACGGCUCACCAAGGCGACGAUCAGUAGCUGGUCGAGAGGAUGAUCAGCCACAUUGGGACUGAGACACGGCCCAAACUCCUACGGGAGGCAGCAGUGGGGAAUAUUGGACAAUGGGCGCAAGCCUGAUCCAGCCAUGCCGCGUGAGUGAUGAAGGCCCUAGGGUUGUAAAGCUCUUUUACCCGGGAAGAUAAUGACUGUACCGGGAGAAUAAG
rnacentral:rRNA from 1 species